AGAUAAUGCUCCUCUCGCGUUAUCCUCGCAACGACAGCGCUGAGAGGGUACUUUCACAGAAUACUUACAAAUGUUCAUGCUGCCAUCUACCAACUGGCAUUCAAGGUGAUGGUUCAAGAUAAGUACCAACAUCUGUCUGAAUAAAAGAAAAUGCCCAAUGGGAGAAAUGUAGGGUGUUACACAAAGGUCUGUUCUCUUGGUGUUUUGAGCCAAAGCCUAGAGUGCAGCUGUUCAAACUGGCAUGCUGCUUGAAAGGAUUGUCCAGCGCAUGUACAAUUAGAUAUUGCAAAUCAUUUCAGCAGCUAUUGCUUUUGACGUAAUCCCUAAUUUGGGAUUAAUAAAAGGCUGAGCAUAGUGA